rnacentral:rRNA from 1 species
GACGAACGAUGGCGGCGUGCUUAACACAUGCAAGUCGAACGAAGUGGCGAACGGGUGAGUAACGCGUAAUCACCCUGCCCUUCAGAGGGGGAUAACAGUUGGCAACGACUGCUAAUACCGCAUACUGAAGGAGGGGAUUGCGUCUGAUUAGCUAGUGGGAGGGGUAACGGCCCACCAAGGCGAUGAUCAGUAGCCGGUCGGGGAGGAGGAAGGGCCACAUUGGGACUGAGAAACGGCCCAGACUCCGACGGGAGGCAGUAGUGGGGAAUCUUCCGCAAUGGACGAAAGUCUGACGGAGCAACGGCGCGGGAGUGAUGACGGCCUUCGGGUUGUAAAGCGCUGUUAAUCGGGACGCGGUACCGGAAUAGAAAGCCACGGCUAACUACGUGCCAGCAGCCGCGGUAAUUC